rnacentral:lncRNA from 1 species
AUCUUACUUCCUGUUGAAAGUUGGUAUCAAUUUACUAAUUCUCAAAAAUCAUUCUUUUGGUGUUAUGUUUGUAAUUUCUGGGAAUAUAUGGUUGAUUUGAGAUGAACUGAUACCUUUAUAAGUUCAGCACUUUCACCCAGGAAUAUGACAUGCUUUCCAUUCACUCACAUUUAUAUCCUCUAGUCAAAGAGUUUUGUAAUUUAUUCAUUGAAAAUCUGGUUUAUUUUUCUGGUUUAUUUAUUUAUAAAUCUUAUUUAUUUGUAAGUGUUUCAAAUAUAGUUUUAUUGAAAUGGAAAUUUCCCCACAAUUCCAUAUCGUAAAGUAUUACUGCUUAUGCAGCAGAGAAACCUAAUGAUUUUUACAUGUCACUCUUAUGUUCAGCCACUUUUAUUCUUGUAUGAAUUCUAACAGUUCUACUAAUUCUCUUAAGUUGGUUGGUUGGUUUUUUAGUAGGCUAGCACAUCACUUGCA